CCUAAUUUAUCCUAUCACAUUGUCAUUUUGAAUAGGUAAACUACUCUUUUCUUAAAUUUUCUCCCUUUCUGCUUAGCAAGGUAUCGUUUUUUCUCUUUCGAAGGGAUCAUUUUUCUGUGAAUAUGAUCGAUGGGGUGAAUUGUUAUUCAUGCUCUGGAACGAAGAAGCAUGAAAUCACAAGAAUCAUCUCGGUAGAGAUGUCGUGCUGGGAGCUGAUCUUAGGACCGAUGGACUAUUAUUUGAGAUACUAGGGCAGUCAGUCGGUGACUCUUCAAUCGAUGAAGAUGACAUCCCAAUAGUUCUAAGAUCAUGGAAGGCAAAAUUUUUUUUUAUUUACUGCAUUGCAUAUUAAGGGGAUCGGCCUCAAACGUUGAUGUGUUAGGUAUCGCAGAAGUUCAGGAGCUGCCUGCUUUUGGAUGUAUCGACAUACCACGAACUCUAUAUGAGGUCAUUGCGCAACUAGCCAAUCGCCUUGCACAGUGGGAUGAUAAGUUUUGGAGGUUUUUUCUCACGAAAAUCAGAACCCACCUUAUCCAAACCUUUAAUACUUCCACUUUUAGGUCAUCUGCAUUUGAGCAUUGUGUGCACAUACUGUACAAAGGAAUUCUUCUAAUCUUCCUUGAAGUGUAAUGUUUUUACUAUGUUAUUCCUUACAUCCAUAAUAGGAGCAGCAGAUGAAGUAAAGUUGAAGUUUAUGACUAGGUGCUUCCUCGCAUAUUGGCCUAUUUCAUAUGCUCUAUUGAAAAAAGUUUCAGUUUUGCCGGAGUCUUUUCUCUUUUCUGGUUUAUAAGAGUGAAAUGAUUACUUCAUGCCAGGAAGGAAAUUGUAUUUGAGCUUCUUCAACAUGUGAGAGGGAAUAUACCUCGAGCCUUGCUAGACGGAGUAAGAAAGAGUACUAGGGAAUGAUUGAAGAUCAAGAAGCAGUUUGCAGCAGGUUUUUUACAAUUCAAGAUGUCAUGCUGGUAAACUCCCCGAAAAUUUACAGUCAGAUAUUCUGAAUUUCAAUUAAUCUUUUUCUGCAGUCAGCCCUGACAUAAUGUGUAUGCAUUUGGUUAAAGGAUGUCAGUAGAUAGAAUUACAACUAAUUAUUUUGAAUUUCUGGAAUGGAAAGUGAGACAUUACAGUUUUCUUUAAACCUGUGGUGUUUCGCUUGAUGGUGAUCAAAGUCAAGAUUGUUGGCAGCAUCAAACUUAUGCUAUAUAGCAAAACUUUAGAUUUGACUUAUAUCAGGUUGGUUUAUUGAUCUUGGAUAUCAUCCAAACUGAGUUGUACUGAAGCUUAUACCACUUCCAAAACACACAUUUAAGUUUGUGUUUAAGAGAAUGCCAUUUGCCCAUGUCAUCCACUCUUCUUGUUUGUAAUGUGUGGAUGGAAGUUGCAUUUGCUUUAAAGUAACUCUACUUUUAAGUUGGCUCUUCCUAGUUUUAACCUCAAGAUAUUGAUAAAUAUAAUAUAUUCUUAAUGAUUUGGUAUUUUACUGGUCUACGACAUAAGAUCAACUGAAUGAUAACUGCUAAAGAUGGGGGUAAAAAAAGCUUUUAGAAGUAUUAGCAGGCAGUUUGUUUAAUUAACUUGCAUAAUUUUUGUCCCAAAAAAAUGAUUGGAAAUGAAAUAUUUCCUCCUCUAUCAAUGCUUCUUAUUUUAAGACAGAAGGGUUACAGUUAUAUUACACAUAUUUUAAGAAUUUUUGGUUGUUGUGGCCUCAUUCUUGCCAUUAUCACUGGUCUUUUUGGGAUCAACUUGGAUGGAAUACCUAGAGCUGAAGGGUCCCCAUAUGUGUUGCUCUGUCUUCUGGUAUCCUCUUCUCGUUAGGAGCUGUGCUGAUUGCAAUUGGAUAACUCUACCUUGAGUUGAAAAAUCCCAUUAAUGAUGAACAUAUUGAAGUGAGAAAACUAGAACUCCAAGAGCUUGUUAGGAUUUUUCAGCAAGAAGCACUGUCUCAUGCAUAGGUCUGAAACACAGUACUUCAUGCUACCUUGCCUCCAACUGCCACAGGUGUACUUCCAGAUGGUGCAAGUUAUGUCCUCAUCAAUUGAAUGUGGCAUUCAGGUAAGUCAAAACAUCUUAUAGUAGGUAGUGAUUUUGGCUUUGUAAUUGCAAUGAAAUAAAUGGAGGGCUUUGAGGAUCAUGUUAUAAUUUGUAAGUGGCUCUAGAAUACAAUUCAUGUUGCAUUACAAUGUGCAAUGCAAAAUUUUGGGUUCUAGAUUCUUGGUAUUGUUACUAAUAGUUGUAAAUGCUCAAAAUAAAACCACAAUAGGAACUGACUUAUUCUCAGGAAAAAGGGGAUUUUGUUCAAAGAAUAGUUUCUAUCACCCUCUCCUUUCUGCCAGGAUGGGGCCUGUUUGGUCGAAGAAGUUUCAACCACCGUACGAGCCUUGUUUGGUAGGUUCUGGGAUCUUUAAGAUCAUGAUUUGAAUGGUGGAUUUUCUCUUCUGCUUCCUGGGUUUCUAAUUAUUAAUAUUUGUAUGGAAUGAUAUCAUUAUACUUGUCAUCUCAUCAGUGUUAAUAAGUUGAAUCAUCUGUCAAUUGAAGUUACCAUAACUGAAGCAGCAGAGGAGAAAAUGCUUGGGUUGUUCAAGCAGCCAUGAUUUAGAUGCUGCAACGAAUUGUGGCAACUUAUUAAGUGUUGGACACAGCCACAGCCUGGUGAGUAAUCACAUGUUAUAAGCAAUUUGCAGCUGACCACUCCAAUGAACUGUCUGUAUUGCCAUCACUAGAAGCAGAACGUGUAGUAUAUUACUGUCCUUUGUUUUGUAGGUAGACUAAUUGUAGCUGAGCUGACACGUCUUAUUAUAUUUUAUUUUUUUGGAUGGUAUCAAAGUUGAAAGUUUCACAAA